CGAUUAGCAGUGGGGAAUCUUGCGCAAUGGGCGAAAGCCUGACGCAGCAACGCCGCGUGCGGGAGGAAGGCCUUCGGGUUGUAAACCGCUUUCAGGAGGGACGAAGCUACCUGGGUUAAUAGCCCGUGGGGUGACGGUACCUCCAGAAGAAGCCCCGGCUAACUACGUGCCAGCAGCCGCAGUAAUACGUAGGUGGCAAGCGUUGUCCGGAUUUACUGGGCGUAAAGAGCGCGC
rnacentral:rRNA from 1 species